GACGAACGCUGGCGGCGUGCUUAACACAUGCAAGUCGAACGGAAAGGCCCUGCUUUUGUGGGGUGCUCGAGUGGCGGACGGGUGAGUAACACGUGAGUAACCUGCCCUUGACUUUGGGAUAACUUCAGGAAACUGGGGCUAAUACCGGAUAGGAGCUCCUGCUGCAUGGUGGGGGUUGGAAAGUUUCGGCGGUUGGGGAUGGACUCGCGGCUUAUCAGCUUGUUGGUGGGGUAGUGGCUUACCAAGGCUUUGACGGGUAGCCGGCCUGAGAGGGUGACCGGCCACAUUGGGACUGAGAUACGGCCCAGACUCCUACGGGAGGCAGCAGUGGGGAAUAUUGCACAAUGGGCGGAAGCCUGAUGCAGCAACGCCGCGUGCGGGAUGACGGCCUUCGGAUUGUAAACCGCUUUCGCCUGUGACGAAGCGUGAGUGACGGUAAUGGGUAAAGAAGCACCGGCUAACUACGUG
rnacentral:rRNA from 1 species